rnacentral:rRNA from 1 species
GUCCGCACCGUAAACGAUGGAUACUAGGUGUCCGGGGCUUCGGCCCUGGGUGCCCAAGGGAAACCGAUAAGUAUCCCACCUGGGGAGUACGUCCGCAAGGAUGAAACUCAAAGGAAUUGACGGGGGCCCGCACAAGCGGUGGAGCAUGUGGUUUAAUUCGAUGAUACGCGAGAAACCUUACCUGGGCUAGAAUGCCCUCGACCACCCCGGAAACGGGGCUUCCCUUCGGGGCGAGGAGCAAGGUGCUGCAUGGCUGUCGU